GAUGAAGAACGCAGCGAAAUGCGAUAAGUAAUGUGAAUUGCAGAAUUCAGUGAAUCAUCGAAUCUUUGAACGCACAUUGCGCCCCCUGGUAUUCCGGGGGGCAUGCCUGUCCGAGCGUCAUUACUGCCCUCAAGCGCGGCUUGUGUGUUGGGCCCUCGCCCCCCCGGGGGCGUGCCCGAAAGGCAGUGGCGGCGCCGUGCCCGGUCCUCGAGCGUAUGGGGCUUUGUCACCCGCUCUGGAGGCCCGGCCGGCCGCCGCCGACCCGUACAGACCUUUAACCGGUUGACCUCGGAUCAGGCAGGGAUACCCGCUGAACUUAAGCAUAUCAAUAAGCGGAGGA
rnacentral:misc_RNA from 1 species